rnacentral:tRNA from 30 species
GGGCCGUUAGCUCAGUUGGUAGAGCAACUGACUUUUAAUCAGUGGGUCGAAGGUUCGAAUCCUUCACGGCUCACCA